AACGAACGCUGGCGGCAUGCCUAACACAUGCAAGUCGAACGAAACCUUCGGGUCUAGUGGCGCACGGGUGCGUAACGCGUGGGAACCUGCCCUUGGGUUCGGAAUAACUCCCCGAAAGGGGUGCUAAUACCGGAUAAUGUCUUCGGACCAAAGAUUUAUCGCCUUUGGAUGGGCCCGCGUUGGAUUAGCUAGUUGGUAGGGUAAAAGCCUACCAAGGCGACGAUCCAUAGCUGGUCUGAGAGGAUGAUCAGCCACACUGGGACUGAGACACGGCCCAGACUGCUACGGGAGGCAGCAGUGGGGAAUAUUGGACAAUGGGCGAAAGCGUGAUCCAGCAAUGCCGCGUGAGUGAUGAAGGCCUUAGGGUUGUAAAGCUCUUUUACCCGGGAUGAUAAUGACAGUACCGGGAGAAUAAGCUCCGGCUAACUACGUG
rnacentral:rRNA from 1 species